rnacentral:rRNA from 1 species
AGGGGGGCCCUAACACAUGCAAGUCGAGCGGAUGAAGGAGCUUGCUCCUGGAUUCAGCGGCGGACGGGUGAGUAAUGCCUAGGAAUCUGCCUGGUAGUGGGGGACAACGUUUCGAAAGGAACGCUAAUACCGCAUACGUCCUACGGGAGAAAGCAGGGGACCUUCGGGCCUUGCGCUAUCAGAUGAGCCUAGGUCGGAUUAGCUAGUUGGUGAGGUAAUGGCUCACCAAGGCGACGAUCCGGGGCUGGUCUGAGAGGAUGAUCAGUCACACUGGAACUGAGACACGGUCCAGACUCCUACGGGAGGCAGCAGUGGGGAAUAUUGGACAAUGGGCGAAAGCCUGAUCCAGCCAUGCCGCGUGUGUGAAGAAGGUCUUCGGAUUGUAAAGCACUUUAAGUUGGGAGGAAGGGCAGUAAAUUAAUACUUUGCUGUUUUGACGUUACCGACAGAAUAAGCACCGGCUAACUCUGUGCCAGCAGCCGCGGUAAUACAGAGGGUGCAAGCGUUAAUCGGAAUUACUGGGCGUAAAGCGCGCGUAGGUGGUUUGUUAAGUUGGAUGUGAAAUCCCCGGGCUCAACCUGGGAAGUGCAUCCCAAAACUGGCAAGCUAGAGUAUGGUAGAGGGUGGUGGAAUUUCCUGUGUAGCGGUGAAAUGCGUAGAUAUAGGAGAACACCAGUGGCGAAGCGACCACCUGGACUGAUACUGACACUGAGUGCGAAGCGUGGGAGCAAACAGGAAUUAGAUACCUUGUAGUCCACGCCGUAACGAUGUCACUAGCCGUUGUAGCUGAGCUCUUAGUGGGCGCAGCCUACGCAUUAG